GACGAACGCUGGCGGCGUGCUUAACACAUGCAAGUCGAACGGUAAGGCCCCUUCGGGGGUACACAAGUGGCGAACGGGUGAGUAACACGUGGGUAAUCUGCCCUGCACUUCGGGAUAGGCCUGGGAAACUGGGUCUAAUACCGGAUAUGAGCUCUCACCGCAUGGGGGGGGUUGGAAAGUUUUUCGGUGCCGGAUGAGCCCGCGGCCUAUCAGCUUGUUGGUGGGGUAAUGGCCUACCAAGGCGACGACGGGUAGCCGGCCUGAGAGGGUGAUCGGCCACACUGGGACUGAGACACGGCCCAGUCUCCUACGGGAGGCAGCAGUGGGGAAUACUGCACAAUGGGCGGAAGCCUGAUGCAGCGACGCCGCGUGGGGGAUGACGGUCUUCGGAUUGUAAACCCCUUUCAGUAGGGACGAAGCGCAAGUGACGGUACCUGCAGAAGAAGCACCGGCCAACUACGUGCCAGCCGCCGCGGUAAUAC
rnacentral:rRNA from 1 species